AAAGGUAAUUAGGAAUAAAGUAAAGCUGCUAACUUUACUUUGAGCAACUCAAAAUUGUUCUACCUUUU
rnacentral:tRNA from 1 species